ensembl:lncRNA
UGCGAUGGUAUCACAUCAAAAGACCUAUGCCCUGGUCCGACAGAAGAAAAUGUGCAUCUUUGAGUGAAGUACCAUCAGCAAUUGAAGAGUGACUGCUGGGAAAGUUGCACUGACACAGGCGGCUACAAAGCUGCAGGUUCCAGGGGCAGCAGGCUAAGUACAGAAGCCCAGACCUCUCUCUAUCCAGUCAUCUCCUCCAGCUCUCAGAGACACUUACGUAUUCCCAAGCCACCCGUGAGAUAUAAUCUUCCCAGUGUGUUCUGAGACUAUCCUGGGGAUGCCACCUUCUAGGACAUGCCCAAAAAACGUCACCUAUGACACACCCGGGAGGAUAUAUUGUGGUUACAGCUGUAGCGGAACUAAGUUCGUGUGAGCAAGAGGAAACGCAUCAACUAAAGUGAAAUCAACCAGAGAAGAUUUGAGGGAUGAUAGCGCUCCUCCUUAUUAGAGUAUCUACGUGCAAAAACGCCUGUUGAUGGCAAAGGUCAAAGGAGAAUGGCCCGGCUGCUUUGAACUGAUGGGAAAGCAACAGUAACUCAAAGUAUGCAGAAGAGCACAACAUAUCGAACCUUGAAGCAGAU